rnacentral:rRNA from 1 species
UACGGAGGGUGCGAGCGUUGUCCGGAAUCACUGGGCGUAAAGGGCGCGUAGGUGGCGCGGGCAGUCAACGGUGAAAGUUCGGGGCUCAACUCCGGAUCUGCGGUGGGUACGGGCAGACUAGAGUGCAGUAGGGGAGACUGGAAUUCCUGGUGUAGCGGUGAAAUGCGCAGAUAUCAGGAGGAACACCGAUGGCGAAGGCAGGUCUCUGGGCUGUAACUGACGCUGAGGAGCGAAAGCAUGGGGAGCGAACAGG